rnacentral:rRNA from 1 species
AUUGUCUAUAGCCAUACCACCCAGAAUGCAACCAAUCUCGUCUGAUCUUGGGAGCUAAGCAGGGUCAGUCCUGGUUAGUACUUGGAAGGGAGAAUUUUAUUUCUAAGAACACUGGAGAGGGAAAAUU